rnacentral:rRNA from 1 species
AUGAACGCUAGCUACAGGCUUAACACAUGCAAGUCGAGGGGCAGCAUGGUCUUAGCUUGCUAAGGCCGAUGGCGACCGGCGCACGGGUGAGUAACACGUAUCCAACCUGCCGUCUACUCUUGGACAGCCUUCUGAAAGGAAGAUUAAUACAAGAUGGCAUCAUGAGUCCACAUGUUCACAUGAUUAAAGGUAUUCCGGUAGACGAUGGGGAUGCGUUCCAUUAGAUAGUAGGCGGGGUAACGGCCCACCUAGUCUUCGAUGGAUAGGGGUUCUGAGAGGAAGGUCCCCCACAUUGGAACUGAGACACGGUCCAAACUCCUACGGGAGGCAGCAGUGAGGAAUAUUGGUCAAUGGGCGAGAGCCUGAACCAGCCAAGUAGCGUGAAGGAUGACUGCCCUAUGGGUUGUAAACUUCUUUUAUAAAGGAAUAAAGUCGGGUAUGCAUACCCGUUUGCAUGUACUUUAUGAAUAAGGAUCGGCUAACUCCGUGCCAGCAGCCGCGGUAAUACGGAGGAUCCGAGCGUUAUCCGGAUUUAUUGGGUUUAAAGGGAGCGUAGAUGGAUGUUUAAGUCAGUUGUGAAAGUUUGCGGCUCAACCGUAAAAUUGCAGUUGAUACUGGAUAUCUUGAGUGCAGUUGAGGCAGGCGGAAUUCGUGGUGUAGCGGUGAAAUGCUUAGAUAUCACGAAGAACUCCGAUUGCGAAGGCAGCCUGCUAAGCUGCAACUGACAUUGAGGCUCGAAAGUGUGGGUAUCAAACAGGAUUAGAUACCCUGGUAGUCCACACGGUAAACGAUGAAUACUCGCUGUUUGCGAUAUACAGCAAGCGGCCAAGCGAAAGCGUUAAGUAUUCCACCUGGGGAGUACGCCGGCAACGGUGAAACUCAAAGGAAUUGACGGGGGCCCGCACAAGCGGAGGAACAUGUGGUUUAAUUCGAUGAUACGCGAGGAACCUUACCCGGGCUUAAAUUGCAGAUGAAUUACGGUGAAAGCCGUAAGCCGCAAGGCAUCUGUGAAGGUGCUGCAUGGUUGUCGUCAGCUCGUGCCGUGAGGUGUCGGCUUAAGUGCCAUAACGAGCGCAACCCUUGUUGUCAGUUACUAACAGGUUCUGCUGAGGACUCUGACAAGACUGCCAUCGUAAGAUGUGAGGAAGGUGGGGAUGACGUCAAAUCAGCACGGCCCUUACGUCCGGGGCUACACACGUGUUACAAUGGGGGGUACAGAGGGCCGCUACCACGCGAGUGGAUGCCAAUCCCCAAAACCUCUCUCAGUUCGGACUGGAGUCUGCAACCCGACUCCACGAAGCUGGAUUCGCUAGUAAUCGCGCAUCAGCCAUGGCGCGGUGAAUACGUUCCCGGGCCUUGUACACACCGCCCGUCAAGCCAUGAAAGCCGGGGGCGCCUAAAGUCCGUGACCGUAAGGAGCGGCCUAGGGCGAAACUGGUAAUUGGGGCU